GUAUGGUUAAGCUAUGUAGGGCGCAGGGCGGAUGCCUUGGCACUAAGAGCCGAAGAAAGACGUGAUAAGCUGCGAAAAG
rnacentral:rRNA from 1 species